rnacentral:lncRNA from 1 species
UUCUUCUAGGAUGGUAUAUUAUUUAAGGCAGGUGGUUUUGCAGGGCUACCUAUUAUCCUCGAGUCCAAAGUAGUAGAGGCAGAUAUUCAAGCAUUCCCAGGAAUUCACAGGCUUUUCAAAUCUCACCAGUUUGAAUGGAUGAACAACAUGCUAGGUGAGUAUGCACGCCACCUAACUAGAGAGGCUUACGCCUCAUAUGCAACGAACCUGAUGAAUUUUCUGCCGACACUGAACAAAAAAAGAAAAGGCAGAAAGAUGGUGCAGCUACAUAGGGAACCCUAGAAGUUGUGAGUGUGCAGGGGCAAUCCAUUGAUAUAUCUGAAACCAAAGUAAAUAGGAUGCUACAUGGCCCAGAGUAUAGAACACAUGUGUCAGUGGGGUUAUUUGAAGGUCGGCACCAGACAGUGACUAGUGAGACCGAGAUGGAUAAUCCUAGCUCGCGGGAAUGUUUCAUGCGAUGGAUUUUUGGCCAGAUUGCGAUAGAGGGAGAGACUGCAUCAUGGGUAGCCAAUGCAGAGGUGCAAAUUACGAAGGCAUCCCUUUUAUUUCCUUCCAAGGUCUGGUGGGCAUUUUUCCGUGCACAGUUGCUAGCCACUGCUAAUGAUAACACUUUAUCACCGUCAUUUGCCUCCUUGGUAGCCUGCCUCAUUGUUGUUUACCCAUUGAAUGUGGUUCGGAUAAUUGCCACAAUAAUGCGAGACAAAACACUGAAUGAGAGAGAAGGUUUGUCGUUUCCCUGUAUAAUAGGGAAACUCUAUUUGCAGGCAAAUAUGCCACCACAUAAAUUAGUGGACAAAUGGAUAGAAGCCUCCAAGGUUACCGUAACAUCAAAUAUAAAAUAUUUUUCGAACCAUCUAGGCCAAACCAAUAGGACCAGUGGUAGUUGUUCCACAUGUUCCAAUUUGAGAUACCGAGAACUGAGGGAGGAAGUGAGCUUGGUGAUUCUUCACAGCCAGCUGUAGGAACACCACCACCACCAGCCUCAUCUUCACAGGCUACAGGUACCUUCGUGUCUAUACCCACUUUAAUUUUGGAGCGGUUGGUUGCAGAUUAGAGUCCGACUCGGUCCAUAGUCGACCAAAUAGUGCUCAAACUACCUCAGGUAGUUUAGAGAGAUUUGUUGGUUGCACAAAAGCCAUUGAGGGAUAAAAUGAGGCAGGAGCUCGUAGUGCUGAAGAAUCGGAUGGAUGAUUUAGAAGCACAUGUGAACAGUCAACUACAGGCUUUUCACAUGUCAACUACAGUCUGAAGAAGAAGAUAGUGAGUCUGGGACAGUCAGGAGUCUGAUGAUGAGUCCCGAGCAUCUACGGAUUCACCUCAACCAUAAGAGGGUGAGGGGGAGGAAAAUGAGGUCCGGCAGGAUGAUGUUGAUUGUAUAUCAGGGGUAUCGAUGGUGAAAUGUGUUCACCAGUAAAAAUUAGACCUACUAGUGUGGCAACAGACUACUGAGUUCUUUUACCAGAUGUGGACCGUGCCUCGAUUAGAGGGGUUCUUCUAGGAUGGUAUAUUAUUUAAGGCAGGUGGUUUUGCAGGACGACCUAUUAUCCUCGAGUCCAAAGUAGUAGAGGCAGAUAUUCAAGCAUUCCCGGAAAUUCACAGUCUUUUCAAAUCUCACCAGUUUGAAUGGAUGAACAACAUGCUAGGUGAGUAUGCACGCCACCUAACUAGAGAGGCUUACGCCUCAUAUGCAACGAACCUG